CGCUAGCUACAGGCUUAACACAUGCAAGUCGAGGGGCAUCAGGAAGAAAGCUUGCUUUCUUUGCUGGCGACCGGCGCACGGGUGAGUAACACGUAUCCAACCUGCCCUUUACUCGGGGAUAGCCUUUCGAAAGAAAGAUUAAUACCCGAUGGCAUAAUGAUUCCGCAUGGUUUCAUUAUUAAAGGAUUCCGGUAAAGGAUGGGGAUGCGUUCCAUUAGGUUGUUGGUGAGGUAACGGCUCACCAAGCCUUCGAUGGAUAGGGGUUCUGAGAGGAAGGUCCCCCACAUUGGAACUGAGACACGGUCCAAACUCCUACGGGAGGCAGCAGUGAGGAAUAUUGGUCAAUGGGCGCUAGCCUGAACCAGCCAAGUAGCGUGAAGGAUGAAGGCUCUAUGGGUCGUAAACUUCUUUUAUAUAAGAAUAAAGUGCAGUAUGUAUACUGUUUUGUAUGUAUUAUAUGAAUAAGGAUCGGCUAACUCCGUGCCAGCAGCCGCGGUAAUACGGAGGAUCCGAGCGUUAUCCGGAUUUAUUGGGUUUAAAGGGAGCGUAGGUGGACUGGUAAGUCAGUUGUGAAAGUUUGCGGCUCAACCGUAAAAUUGCAGUUGAUACUGUCAGUCUUGAGUACAGUAGAGGUGGGCGGAAUUCGUGGUGUAGCGGUGAAAUGCUUAGAUAUCACGAAGAACUCCGAUUGCGAAGGCAGCUCACUGGACUGCAACUGACACUGAUGCUCGAAAGUGUGGGUAUCAAACAGGAUUAGAUACCCUGGUAGUCCACACAGUAAACGAUGAAUACUCGCUGUUUGCGAUAUACAGUAAGCGGCCAAGCGAAAGCAUUAAGUAUUCCACCUGGGGAGUACGCCGGCAACGGUGAAACUCAAAGGAAUUGACGGGGGCCCGCACAAGCGGAGGAACAUGUGGUUUAAUUCGAUGAUACGCGAGGAACCUUACCCGGGCUUAAAUUGCAGUGGAAUGAUGUGGAAACAUGUCAGUGAGCAAUCACCGCUGUGAAGGUGCUGCAUGGUUGUCGUCAGCUCGUGCCGUGAGGUGUCGGCUUAAGUGCCAUAACGAGCGCAACCCUUAUCUUUAGUUACUAACAGGUCAUGCUGAGGACUCUGGAGAGACUGCCGUCGUAAGAUGUGAGGAAGGUGGGGAUGACGUCAAAUCAGCACGGCCCUUACGUCCGGGGCUACACACGUGUUACAAUGGGGGGUACAGAAGGCAGCUAGCGGGUGACCGUAUGCUAAUCCCAAAAUCCUCUCUCAGUUCGGAUCGAAGUCUGCAACCCGACUUCGUGAAGCUGGAUUCGCUAGUAAUCGCGCAUCAGCCACGGCGCGGUGAAUACGUUCCCGGGCCUUGUACACACCGCCCGUCAAGCCAUGGGAGCCGGGGGUACCUGAAGUACGUAACCGCAAGGAUCGUCCUAGGGUAAAACUGGUGACUGGGG
rnacentral:rRNA from 1 species